rnacentral:rRNA from 1 species
CGGCGAGUGAAGUGGGAUGAGCUCAAAUUUAAAAUCUGGUAGUCUUUGGCUGCCCGAGUUGUAAUCUAGAGAAGUGUUUUCUGUGCUGGACUGUGUUCAAGUUUCCUGGAUAUGGAACAUCAUAGAGGGUGAGAAUCCCGUCUUUGAUACAGACUCCCAGUGCUCUGUGAUACACUCUCAACGAGUCGAGUUGUUUGGGAUUGCAGCUCAAAAUGGGAGGUAAAUUCCUUCUAAAGCUAAAUAUUGGCGAGAGACCGAUAGCGAACAAGUACCGUGAGGGAAAGAUGAAAAGCACUUUGGAAAGAGAGUUAAACAGUACGUGAAAUUGUUAAAAGGGAAACAAUUGAAGUCAGUUGCAUCUACUUGGACUCAGCCUUACUUUGGUUUGGUGCAUUUCCUUGUGGAUGGGCCAGUGUUCAUGUUAAUUGCUGGAAAAGGGGCUAGGGAAUGUGGCUCUCUUUUGGGAGUGUUUAUAGCCUUGGCUCAUAUACAGUGAUUUUAAUAUGGAGUGGUACAGCAUGCUUCGGUGGUGCUUGUGCUGGCAUAAUGGCUUUAAAUGACCCGUCUUGAAACACGGACCAAGGAGUCUAACAUGUCUGCAAGUAUUUGGGUGAUAAACCCAAGUGCGUAAUGAAAGUGAUAGCUGGGAACCCUGUAAAGGGGGCACUAGUACCCCGAGCGGAUCUUCUGUGAUGCAUCGGAGGUAGAGCAUAUAUGUUGGGACCCGAAAGAUGGUGAACUAUGCCUGAAUAGGGUGAAGCCAGAGGAAACUCUGGUGGAGGCUCGUAGCGAUUCUGACGUGC